rnacentral:antisense_RNA from 16 species
UUUUAUGGCGGGCCGGGCGGGGCCAGCUUCGGCUGGGCCGGUUUCCUGUAGGCCGGUUUCUCACCCCCGCUGUCUGGCCCGCCACCCUC